GGGCGCAUAGCUCAGUGGUUAGAGCACGUCGCUUAUAACGACGGGGUCGAUGGUUCAAGUCCAUCUGCGCCUA
rnacentral:tRNA from 4 species